GACGAACGCUGGCGGCGUGCCUAAUACAUGCAGGUUGAGCGCUGAAGGUUGGUACUUGUACCAACUGGAUGAGCAGCGAAUGGGUGAGUAACGCGUGGGGAAUCUGCCUUUGAGCGGGGGACAACAUUUGGAAACGAAUGCUAAUACCGCAUAAAAACUUUAAACACAAGUUUUAAGUUUGAAAGAUGCAAUUGCAUCACUCAAAGAUGAUCCCGCGUUGUAUUAGCUAGUUGGUGAGGUAAAGGCUCACCAAGGCGAUGAUACAUAGCCGACCUGAGAGGGUGAUCGGCCACAUUGGGACUGAGACACGGCCCAAACUCCUACGGGAGGCAGCAGUAGGGAAUCUUCGGCAAUGGACGAAAGUCUGACCGAGCAACGCCGCGUGAGUGAAGAAGGUUUUCGGAUCGUAAAACUCUGUUGGUAGAGAAGAACGUUGGUGAGAGUGGAAAGCUCAUCAAGUGACGGUAACUACCCAGAAAGGGACGGCUAACUACGU
rnacentral:rRNA from 1 species